CCUACGGGGGGCUGCAGUAGGGAAUGUUUCACAAUGGGCGAAAGCCUGAUGGAGCAAUGCCGCGUGAAUGAUGAAGGUCUUAUAGAUUGUAAAAUUCUUUUAUGUGGGAAGAAAAACUAAAGUAGGAAAUGACUUGAGUCUGACUGUACCAUGGGAAUAAGGAUCGGCUAACUAUGUGCCAGCAGCCGCGGUAAUACAUAGGAUGCAAGCGUUAUCCGGAUUUACUGGGCGUAAAACGAGCGCAGGCGGGUUAACAAGUUUGGUAUGAAAGGCUUUUGCUUAACGAAAGUUUGUAUCAAAAACUGUUAUUCUAGCGUGUAGUAGAGCGUUCUGGCCUUCCAUGUGGAGCGGUGGACUGCGUAGAUAUCUG
rnacentral:rRNA from 1 species